UCCUAUAGAGCUCCAUUUUUUCUGUUUGCUUGUUUUGUUAUUUGUUUGUAUUUCCUUGUGUCUCUGAAUGUGGUUAAAGAGAGGUGCAGUGUGGGUAAAGCAUCAUUUUCUUUUUCCUUUCCUCAUUUCUUUACUUUUCCCUCUUAUUCCUUCCUUUCUGUCAUCAUUACAAACCCAUUCUAUCAUUUUCCUUACCAUAAACCAUCAAAACAUCUUGACAAUCUCAUUUAAAUCACUUUUUUUUCAUUAUCAUCUGUUCCUUUACACUUUCUUGCUUUCUUUCACUUAUUAAUUCACUACACUCCUCUGCUUGUGUGUUUGGGAGUGUUUUGGGGUGUUUUGGAGGUGUUUUAGGGCUGUUUUUGCAAGUGUUUUGAGGUAAAUUGUCUGUUUUGGGGUGUUUUGGAGGUUCUAGUUUAACAGGCUGUAGUGGAAGUUACUGGGGUUUUCAAGGGAGUUUUCAUGGUUCUAGUUUAACAGGCUGUAGUGGAAGUUACUGGGGUUUUCAAGGGUGUUUUCAUGGUUCUAGUUUAACAGGCUGUAGUGGAAGUUACUGGGGUUUUCAAGGGUGUUUUCAUGGUUCUAGUUUAACAGGCUGUAGUGGAAGUUACUGGGGUUUUCAAGGGAGUUUUCAUGGUUCUAGUUUAACAGGCUGUAGUGGAAGUUACUGGGGUUUUCAAGGGAGUUUUCAUGGUUCUAGUUUAACAGGCUGUAGUGGAAGUUACUGGGGUUUUCAAGGGAGUUUUCAUGGUUCUAGUUUAACAGGCUGUAGUGGAAGUUACUGAGGUUUACAAAGUAUAUUUUCAAAUCUAUAUUUUUACUGUGUAGCCAAAUAAUUAUAAUAUAAAACAACAGAAUUUAUCAGUAACAAUAUUAUUUAACCCACCACUGCCUGCUGUACCACCCUCACCAUCCACAGGGCCUAAUGAUGAUGAUUCCUGCUUUCAUCCUCAUCGGGGCUAAUGAGACCAACCUGGGGCUGUACUCUGGACUGACGCUGUAUGCCAUAGUGCCUUGAGGUGCCAAUCAUUUCUGAAGUUUAUGAAAGCAGAAACGGCUCUCCAGAAUAUGAUUUUUACCCUAGAUCUUCCCUUCAGCACGCCCUGUCUGCUGGCUCCUGCUGGCAGCACGCCCUGUCUGCUGGCUCCUGCUGGCAGCACGCCCUGUCUGCUGGCUCCUGCUGGCAGCACGCCCUGUCUGCUGGCUCCUGCUGGCAGCACGCCCUGUCUGCUGGCUCCUGCUGGCAGCACGCCCUGUCUGCUGGCUCCUGCUGGCAGCACGCCCUGUCUGCUGGCUCCUGCUGGCAGCACGCCCUGUCUGCUGGCUCCUGCUGGCAGCACGCCCUGUCUGCUGGCUCCUGCUGGCAGCACGCCCUGUCUGCUGGCUCCUGCUGGCAGCACGCCCUGUCUGCUGGCUCCUGCUGGCAGCACGCCCUGUCUGCUGGCUCCUGCUGGCAGCACGCCCUGUCUGCUGGCUCCUGCUGGCAGCACGCCCUGUCUGCUGGCGCCUCUCUCAAUCAGAAAAGUUUCCUUCAAUUAUUACCUUCAUCUCCAGUCCACUCUGCUUUUUCCUCCAUCUCUCUCUCUCUCUCUCUCUCUCUCUCUCUCUCUCUCUCUCUCUCUCUCUCUCUCUCUCUCUCUCUCUCUCUCUCUCUCUCUCUCUCUCUCUCUCUCUCUCUCUCUCUCUCUGUCAAUGAAAUUCCACAUGUGCGUAUCUACGUAUGGAAGUAGAAAAUAAAAGAAAAAAAAUGUAAUGUAAAAGAAGAAACGAAAUAAUUCCUCACCUCAACUGUGUGUGUGUGUGUGUGUGUGUGUGUGUGUGUGUGUGUGUGUGUGUGUGUGUGUGUGUGUGUGUGUGUGUGUGUGUGUGUGUCUAUCGCUUAGGGAGUGGGGAGCAUUAUGGAGAGGGAGAGGGAGAUGAGUGAUAGGCUUAUGUCCCAAAGAUUGAUCCUCCUCCUCCUCCUCCUCUUCAUCUUCCUCUUCCUUUUCCUCCUCCUCCUUCUCCUUCUCUUCCUCUUCCUCUUCCUCUUCCUUUUCCUCUUCUUCUUCCUCCUCCUUUUCAUAUUCCUCCUCCUCCUCCUCCUCCUCCUCCUCUUCUUCAUCUUCCUCUUCCUUUUCCUCCUCCUUCUCCUUCUCUUCCUCUUCCUCUUCCUCUUCUUCCUCCUCUUCAUAUUCCUCCUCCUCCUCCUCCUCCUCCUCCUCCUCCUCCUCCUCCUCUUCAUCUUCCUCUUCCUCUUCUUCCUCCUCCUCUUCAUAUUCCUCCUCCUCCUCCUCUUCCUCCUCCUCCUCCUCCUCCUCCUCCUCCUCCUCCUCCUCCUCUUCAUCUUCCUCUUCCUUUUCCUCCUCCUUCUCCUUCUCUUCCUCUUCAUCUUCCUCUUCCUCUUCCUCUUCUUCCUCCUCCUCUUCAUAUUCCUCCUCCUCCUCCUCCUCCUCCUCCUCCUCCUCCUCCUCUUCCUCCUCCUCUUCAUAUUCCUCUUCCUCUUCCUCUUCCUCCUUCUCCUCCUUUCCCUUUUGAUCCUCUCCCCCCCUCUCCCUCUCUCUCUCUCUCUCUCUCUCUCUCUCUCUCUCUCUCUCUCUCUCUCUCUCUCUCUCUCUCUCUCUCUCUCUCUCUCUCUCUCUCUCUCUCUCUCUCUCUCUCUCUCUCUCUCUCUGUGUGUGUGUGUGUGUGUGUGUGUGUGUGUGUGUGUGUGUGUGUGUGUGUGUGUCAGUGACUGGUUACCAUGACAACGGCGUCAGUCAGCUGGUUCGCUAUUGUUUACAUUUGUCGAGGUGUUUAUCUGUCUGGGUGAUGGGGAGGGGAGGGGAUGGGGGGAAGGGAUAAGA